rnacentral:rRNA from 1 species
GACGAACGCUGGCGGCGUGCCUAAUACAUGCAAGUAGAACGCUGAAGGAGGAGCUUGCUUCUCUGGAUGAGCUGCGAACGGGUGAGUAACGCGUAGGUAACCUGCCUGGUAGCGGGGGAUAACUAUUGGAAACGAUAGCUAAUACCGCAUAAUAGCAGUUGUUGCAUGACAACUGUUUGAAAGGUGCAAUUGCACCACUACCAGAUGGACCUGCGUUGUAUUAGCUAGUUGGUGGGGUAACGGCUCACCAAGGCGACGAUACAUAGCCGACCUGAGAGGGUGAUCGGCCACACUGGGACUGAGACACGGCCCAGACUCCUACGGGAGGCAGCAGUAGGGAAUCUUCGGCAAUGGACGGAAGUCUGACCGAGCAACGCCGCGUGAGUGAAGAAGGUUUUCGGAUCGUAAAGCUCUGUUGUAAGAGAAGAACGAGUGUGAGAGUGGAAAGUUCACACUGUGACGGUAUCUUACCAGAAAGGGACGGCUAACUACGUG